AAUAUACUCCCUCCGUUCGGAAUUACUUGUCUCGAAAAUGAAUGUAUCUAGACGUAUUUUUGUUCUAGAUACAUCUAUUUCCGAGACAAGUAAUUCCGAACGAAGGGAGUAGUUA
rnacentral:pre_miRNA from 1 species